GACGAACGCUGGCGGCGUGCUUAACACAUGCAAGUCGAACGGAAAGGCCCCUUUGGGGGUACUCGAGUGGCGAACGGGUGAGUAACACGUGAGUAACCUGCCCUUGACUUCGGGAUAACUUCAGGAAACUGGGGCUAAUACCGGAUAGGAAUCCUUGCUGCAUGGUGGGGGUUGGAAAGCUUCGGCGGUUUUGGAUGGACUCGCGGCUUAUCAGCUUGUUGGUGGGGUAGUGGCUUACCAAGGCUUUGACGGGUAGCCGGCCUGAGAGGGCGACCGGCCACAUUGGGACUGAGAUACGGCCCUGACUCCUACGGGAGGCAGCAGUGGGGAAUAUUGCACAAUGGGCGGAAGCCUGAUGCAGCAACGCCGCGUGCGGGAUGACGGCCUUCGGGUUGUAAACCGCUUUCAGCAGGGGCGAAGCUUGUGGUGACGGUACCUGCAGAAGAAGCACCGGCUAACUACGUG
rnacentral:rRNA from 1 species